rfam:Triticum urartu cultivar G1812 contig978407, whole genome shotgun sequence.
ACAAUACUCCCUCCGUUCCAAAUUACUCGUCGCGGAAAUGGAUGUAUCUAGAACUAAAAUACAACUAGAUACAUCCAUACCUGCGACAAAUAAUUCGGAACGGGGGGCGUACUUA